GCAUCGGUGGUGCACGGUGCACGCCUCUUUACUGUGAGUAUAUCGCGAGCAUACAGGGAGGGACUCGGGUUCGAUUCCCGGCCGAUGCG